UAGUGUUCAUCAUGGCGAGCAGAUGGCACCAGGAGAAAUGGAGCCCCUGGCCAGUGUGAGUCUAGCAGUGCAGUCUAGCAGUCCUGGAGGAGAGGAGAGAGCCCGCCUAACUGCGGAUUGCAUUUCCAGAGGCUUAGGAGAAGGAAGUUCUCCA
rfam:Otolemur garnettii contig147641, whole genome shotgun sequence.